rnacentral:ribozyme from 1 species
CUCCCAAAGGGCAAUGACCUCUACGUGGUCUGGGAGACGAGUAGGCUUAGGCCGAAACCAACAUUGCC